rnacentral:tRNA from 1 species
UCCCUGCUGGCUCAGACGGUAAAGCAUCUGCCUACAAUGCAGGAGACCUGGGUUCGAUUCCUGGGUUGGGAA